AUGAAACAUACCCAGAAUCUUGAGGUUUGUGAAGCUGUUGAAAUCUUGAUAAUCCUUAGGUACAACCGGACUUUUGGACAAAUAACCCCUUUUGAUCAUCAUUAUACUGUAGCAAAGCAUGUUAUGUGUACCAUAUCCUGCCUUUUAUUCUGUAGUGUUCAUGCCUGUCAGUCGUGCUAUCAUAUGCCUUUAGUUGAGUUGGGAGUACCUCAUUCAGCAAACAGUAAAUCUGCUAGGUGGUUCAGCACAAAUCUGUCAGAUGCAGCACUGUUAGUAAAAUCUUCUAGGUGGUUUAGUACAGAUCUGCAUAUAUAUCUCUUUGAUCAUAGGCAGUUGUAA
rnacentral:rRNA from 1 species